rnacentral:rRNA from 1 species
AUGAACGCUAGCUACAGGCUUAACACAUGCAAGUCGAGGGGCAGCAUGAACUUAGCUUGCUAAGUUUGAUGGCGACCGGCGCACGGGUGAGUAACACGUAUCCAACCUGCCGAUGACUCGGGGAUAGCCUUUCGAAAGAAAGAUUAAUACCCGAUGGCAUAGUUCUUCCGCAUGGUGGAACUAUUAAAGAAUUUCGGUCAUCGAUGGGGAUGCGUUCCAUUAGGUUGUUGGCGGGGUAACGGCCCACCAAGCCUUCGAUGGAUAGGGGUUCUGAGAGGAAGGUCCCCCACAUUGGAACUGAGACACGGUCCAAACUCCUACGGGAGGCAGCAGUGAGGAAUAUUGGUCAAUGGACGAGAGUCUGAACCAGCCAAGUAGCGUGAAGGAUGACUGCCCUAUGGGUUGUAAACUUCUUUUAUACGGGAAUAAAGUGAGGCACGUGUGCCUUUUUGUAUGUACCGUAUGAAUAAGGAUCGGCUAACUCCGUGCCAGCAGCCGCGGUAAUACGGAGGAUCCGAGCGUUAUCCGGAUUUAUUGGGUUUAAAGGGAGCGUAGGCGGACGCUUAAGUCAGUUGUGAAAGUUUGCGGCUCAACCGUAAAAUUGCAGUUGAUACUGGGUGUCUUGAGUACAGUAGAGGCAGGCGGAAUUCGUGGUGUAGCGGUGAAAUGCUUAGAUAUCACGAAGAACUCCGAUUGCGAAGGCAGCUUGCUGGACUGUAACUGACGCUGAUGCUCGAAAGUGUGGGUAUCAAACAGGAUUAGAUACCCUGGUAGUCCACACAGUAAACGAUGAAUACUCGCUGUUUGCGAUAUACAGUAAGCGGCCAAGCGAAAGCGUUAAGUAUUCCACCUGGGGAGUACGCCGGCAACGGUGAAACUCAAAGGAAUUGACGGGGGCCCGCACAAGCAGUGGAGUAUGUGGUUUAAUUCGAAGCAACGCGAAGAACCUUACCAAGUCUUGACAUCCUGCGACGCACAUAGAAAUAUGUGUUUCCUUCGGGACGCAGAGACAGGUGGUGCAUGGUUGUCGUCAGCUCGUGUCGUGAGAUGUUGGGUUAAGUCCCGCAACGAGCGCAACCCCUGUCCUUAGUUGCCAGCAUGUAGAGAUGGGAACUCUAAGGAGACUGCCGUAGAUAAUACGGAGGAAGGUGGGGAUGACGUCAAAUCAGCACGGCCCUUACGUCCGGGGCUACACACGUGUUACAAUGGGGGGUACAGAAGGCAGCUACACGGCGACGUGAUGCCAAUCCCGAAAGCCUCUCUCAGUUCGGAUUGGAGUCUGCAACCCGACUCCAUGAAGCUGGAUUCGCUAGUAAUCGCGCAUCAGCCACGGCGCGGUGAAUACGUUCCCGGGCCUUGUAAACACCGCCCGUCAAGCCAUGAAAGCCGGGGGUACCUGAAGUGCGUAACCGCAAGGAGCGCCCUAGGGUAAAACUGGUGAUUGGGGCU